rnacentral:rRNA from 2 species
AGAACGUCGUGAGACAGUUCGGUCCCUAUCCGUCGUGGGCGUAGGAAAUUUGAGAGGAGCUGUCCUUAGUACGAGAGGACCGGGAUGGACGCACCGCUGGUGUACCAGUUGUUCUGCCAAGGGCAUAGCUGGGUAGCUAUGUGCGGAAGGGAUAAGUGCUGAAAGCAUCUAAGCAUGAAGCCCCCCUCAAGAUGAGAUUUCCCAUAGCGUAAGCUAGUAAGAUCCCUGAAAGAUGAUCAGGUUGAUAGGUUCGAGGUGGAAGCAUGGUGACAUGUGGAGCUGACGAAUACUAAUAGAUCGAGGACUUAACCAUAUAA